AACGCGUAAGUAAUCUACCACUGCAUUCGGAAUAACCCAUCGAAAGGUGAGCUAAUACCGGAUACGUUUAAUUAUACACAAGUAUAGUUAAAGAAAGAUGGCCUCUUUUUUAAGCUAUUGUGCAGUGAGGAGCUUGCGUACCAUUAGCUAGUUGGUGGGGUAAAAGCCUACCAAGGCAACGAUGGUUAGCGGGUCUGAGAGGAUGAUCCGCCACACUGGAACUGGAACACGGACCAG
rnacentral:rRNA from 1 species